UACGUAGGCAGCGAGCGUUGUUCGGAGUUACUGGGCGUAAAGCGUGCGUAGGCGGUGUCUUAAGUUUGUUGUGAAAUCUCCCGGCUUAACCGGGAGGGUGCGGCGAAUACUGAGAUGCUGGAGUGCCGGAGAGGUAAGCGGAAUUCCUGGUGUAGCGGUGAAAUGCGUAGAUAUCAGGAGGAACACCUGCGGUGUAGACGGCUUACUGGACGGUAACUGACGCUGAGACACGAAAGCGUGGGUAGCAAACAGG
rnacentral:rRNA from 1 species